GAUGAACGCUGGCGGCGUGCCUAAUACAUGCAAGUCGAGCGAACGGACGAGAAGCUUGCUUUUCUGAUGUUAGCGGCGGACGGGUGAGUAACACGUGGAUAACCUACCUAUAAGACUGGGAUAACUUCGGGAAACCGGAGCUAAUACCGGAUAAUAUUUUGAACCGCAUGGUUCAAAAGUGAAAGACGGUCUUGCUGUCUCUUAUAGAUGGAUCCCCGCUGCAUUAGCUAGUUGGUAAGGUAACGGCUUACCAAGGCAACGAUGCAUAGCCGACCUGAGAGGGUGAUCGGGCACACGGGAACUGAGACACGGUCCAGACUACUACGGGAGGCAGCAGUAGGGAAUCUUCCGCAAUGGGCGAAAGCCUGACGGAGCAACGCCGCGUGAGUGAUGAAGGUCUUCGGAUCGUAAAACUCUGUUAUUAGGGAAGAACAUAUGUGUAAGUAACUGUGAACAUCUUGACGGUACCUAAUCAGAAAGCCACGGCUAACUACGUG
rnacentral:rRNA from 1 species